rnacentral:misc_RNA from 1 species
CGGUCGAUGUUCGUGCCACACCUGUCGCGUCUCUCACGCCCCUCAGCGGUGCCCGACACCCACCGCGGAGGGUGGGCGAGGCCAACAUGUGCGCUGCCUCCCUUGCAAAGGCGUCGAUGCUUUUUGCCUCUGCGACCAAGAAACAAAAAAAGUAAAAGAGCGGAAAGCGAAGCAAGCCCUCGUGCGCCACGCUUCCGUGGGCAACACACAUGCACUUGCAUGUGUGCGGGCGUGUGUUCGUGUGUGCCAACCUCACGCGCCCCCCUUGGCCCACGCUUUUCUCUUCUUCUCAAUCGAAGCUAAUUACUCAUGCCGGCGGGCUUCGUCUCUGUACCGAUGCCGGUCAGCAAUCUCUCUGGCGUCUACACAAGCAAGGAAGAUCAGCGGCUAAUCGACCAGCUUGUCUACCCCCGAUGCUUCAUGCAGUUCCUGAGCGGCGCGCUGCUCGGCAGUGCAAGCCUGCCAACGCCACGGUGUGCGCGUCGCUGCAGCAGGGCGUCGAUUCCACGCACGUACUCGCAUUGUAGCACACAGGCAAGCAUGCUUACUCUACUGCUUGUCUAUCGGAAUUUCAUGUUGUCUGUCUGCCUGUUCGUGAGAUGUUGCCACUAUGUGUGUGUGUGUGUGUGCGUGUGCAUGCUGGCGCGCUUGUGCGCGUAUCGGACGCGCUGGGUAGGGUGUGACGUGCCUGAGGCGUAGACGUCGGUGAGGUGGCGACAGGAGAAAGAUCAAAGGAAUGAAAAGAAAAACGAGAAGCGAGUGCUGCAGGGAGAAGCGCGAAGCAGACGGACGAAACGCAUCCCUGUGUUUUUGCGUGUCUUUGCCGCCUCGGCAUUGUGCGCAUGAUGCACCCCAAACAUCUUGUGUGCACCCUCCCCCCCCCACCCCCUACAGCGCGCCAGAUGCGUGCGUUGUGGUGCCAUCCGCUGAGCGGUCAAGAGCUAUUGGCUAGGCGCUGAUGAAAUAGUCGUGCACCAAGGAAAGCCGCGCCGCAUCAGUCGCAGGGACCGCGGUCCGUCUCUGACGCAUUCGUUAUUUCUCAGCUGCGGGUGUACCUCUGGGCCUUCGAUCACCAAAGUGCUUUAUUACCGGCGUUGCACGAGAUGUGGCGUCAUUACUGUCUCGCGUGUUUGCGGGGCAUUCAGCUCUGCAGCAGCGCCUUCUCUGUCUUCGACCUUUUCUUGUGUUUCUCCUCCUUCCACAUAUGUGCCGCGCCCC